rnacentral:rRNA from 1 species
AUUGAACGCUGGCGGCAGGCCUAACACAUGCAAGUCGAGCGGAUGAGGGAAGCUUGCUUCCCGAUUUAGCGGCGGACGGGUGAGUAAUGCCUAGGAAUCUGCCUAUUAGUGGGGGAUAACGUUCCGAAAGGAACGCUAAUACCGCAUACGUCCUACGGGAGAAAGCGGGGGCUCUUCGGACCUCGCGCUAACAGAUGAGCCUAGGUCGGAUUAGCUAGUUGGUGGGGUAAUGGCCCACCAAGGCGACGAUCCGUAACUGGUCUGAGAGGAUGAUCAGUCACACUGGAACUGAGACACGGUCCAGACUCCUACGGGAGGCAGCAGUGGGGAAUAUUGGACAAUGGGCGAAAGCCUGAUCCAGCCAUGCCGCGUGUGUGAAGAAGGUCUUUGGAUUGUAAAGCACUUUAAGUCGGGAGGAAGGGCUGUAGGUUAAUACCCUGCGGUUUUGACGUUACCGACAGAAUAAGCACCGGCUAACUUCGUGCCAGCCGCCGCAGUAAUAC